AUGAGAAGCUACGAGUGCCUGAAGAUGGAUGAAAGUGAGACGGUUGAUCAGUUUGCCGCCCGUCUCAAGACCCUCGUCAAUGGCAUACGCAGCUAUGGUUCAACCCUAGAAGAAGUUGCGAUCGUCCGACGAUUUUUGCGCGCCGCGCCGGCACGCUACAUUCAGAUUGUCACGUCGAUCGAGCAAUGUCUCGACCUGAAGACUCUCACGGUUGAGGAUCUCGUCGGAAGGUUCAAGGCCCACGACGAGAGAAUUCGUCUCAGUUUCGGCGACACGGAGGCGAGUGAGCACCUCAUGCUUACAAAGGCGCAAUGGAUCGCCCUGUCGAAAGAAAAGCAAGGCGGAUCUACGAGCAGCGACAAGAAGAAGGGGAAGGGGAAGCAGCGCUCGGCGAGAAAGAACUUCGCCGACUCGGACGACGAGGAUGCGCCUGCACCACCGAGGAGGAAGUUUGACAUCAGAAAAGUGAGGUGUCAUAAGUGUGGCCUCCUCGGUCACUUCAAGGCUAACUGCGAGGAAGCACCGAAGCAACGGGCGCUUAUGGCCGAGGAAGGAGACGAUGGGGAUAUGAUGCUAAUGUGCGAGCUAGUGGACGAAGAGGAUCCAGAUGAUCUUGGUCAGCUGGACACGGGUCCGGUGAGUGCAUCUGCGUCAGUAAACCCAGGCGAAGUUAUGGCGCCAGAAGACCAUGACCCAAGGCGUGACAGUGUGAUUACGUUAGAAGCAGGCGAAGAAGUGGCGACAAAAGUCCAUGACACAAUGCGUGAUGGUAUGGUCGCGCUAGAAAACGGCGAAGACGUGUCGCCAGAAGAACAUGACGCGGGGCGUGAUGAAGCGAUCAUCCCAGAAGAACGCAACAUGCGGCGAGCUACACUCGGACCAGAUGAAUUUGGCGCAUACGUGAUUUUGGAUAGUGCAACGACGAGUUGCGCGGAUGGGUCUAGUGGCAUUGUGAAGGUGGCAACGAGCGGCGUCGCGUCACACGCCAGUUCACUAGCUCCAUCGGCUGCGUUGCAGGUGCCGGGCGAGAGUGCUUCGCUCGAUGACUCAGUGAGCACGUGUGCGAGCCAGGUUGCUGGCACUGCAGGCGGCAGCCCAGCGGCAACUGAAAGCAGCAGUAGCAGCAACACGUACGUGGCUGGUGCUGCCUUGCCGGAUAGCGCGUGCAGCCCAACAAACGGGCUGGAUGAGACUGGCCACUAUAUGCCUCAUGCACACAGGCCAGGGAACCAACCACCACGUGGUGGUGAUGGUCUACGAGACAAAGCAGGGAAGCAAAGCCCAGAAAAUUUGCAAGGCGCAGAAAAUUGUGCAGAAGGCAGUUCACCACCAUGUGGAGGACCGAACGAUGCCAAAAAAGGUGACGGGCAGCAGCGAUGGAGUCCAGUAAACAGCAGGCUUGGAAGCCAGGUAAAAGAAGCAAAAUCGCCAGCAACGGUAACUUUGGCAAGUUUAGAUUCUUCAAUAGCACACGAACGACGCGUGUUGGAUCUCUCUCCAGAAGCAGGGCUUCAGAUAAAUUUGGUAAAGAUGAAAAGUAAAGGGCAACGAAGUUUGCACAUCGAGGAACCGGAAAUUUUUGAAGAUGCAAAUAUGGAGGAGUGUUGGCGUCGUGCUAUGAAUGAAGAGUUGUGGUCGAUCCGAGACAACAAUACAUGGGAGCUCGCGGAUCUUCCCAACGGUCAGAAUGCCAUAGAGCUCAAGUGGGUGUACAAAGUCAAGAAAGAUGCCGAAGGGAACUUGCUGAAGCAUAAAGCUCGGCUCGUAGCUAAAGGAUUUGUGCAAGAGCAAGGUGUGGACUUCGAGGAAGUAUUCGCUCCAGUUACAAGGAUGGAAUCGGUGAGGCUAGUUAUAGCUCUCGCGGCUCAAGAAUCUUGGAAGCUACAUCACAUGGAUGUAAAAUCCGUAUUUUUGAACGGGGAGUUGAAAGAAGAAGUAUACGUGAAGCAACCACCGGGGUACAUCAAAGAAGGAUAG
rnacentral:rRNA from 1 species